rnacentral:pre_miRNA from 13 species
AUUGUCGGUAUGUUCCUGUGGCCCACGGUGCAGUGCUGCAUCUCUGGUCAGUUGGUAGUCUGAGAUGAAGCACUGUAGCUCGGGACACGGGAGAGACGCACCUGCAC